rnacentral:rRNA from 1 species
UACAGAGGGUGCAAGCGUUAAUCGGAAUUACUGGGCGUAAAGCGCGCGUAGGUGGCUAAGUAAGAUGGGUGUGAAAUCCCCGGGCUCAACCUGGGAACUGCUUUCAUAACUGCUUGGCUAGAGUACGGUAGAGGGUAGUGGAAUUUCCUGUGUAGCGGUGAAAUGCGUAGAUAUAGGAAGGAACACCAGUGGCGAAGGCGACUACCUGGACUGAUACUGACACUGAGGUGCGAAAGCGUGGGGAGCAAACAGGAUUAGAUACCCGUGUA